GACGAACGCUGGCGGCGUGCCUAAUACAUGCGAGUAGAACGCUGAAGAGAGGAGCUUGCUCUUCUUGGAUGAGUUGCGAACGGGUGAGUAACGCGUAGGUAACCUGCCUUGUAGCGGGGGAUAACUAUUGGAAACCAUAGCUAAUACCGCAUAACAAUGGAUGACACAUGUCAUUUAUUUGAAAGGGGCAAUUGCUCCACUACAAGAUGGACCUGCGUUGUAUUAGCUAGUAGGUGAGGUAACGGCUCACCUAGGCGACGAUACAUAGCCGACCUGAGAGGGUGAUCGGCCACACUGGGACUGAGACACGGCCCAGACUCCUACGGGAGGCAGCAGUAGGGAAUCUUCGGCAAUGGGGGCAACCCUGACCGAGCAACGCCGCGUGAGGGAAGAAGGUUUUCGGAUCGUAAAGCUCUGUUGUAAGUCAAGAACGAGUGUGAGAGUGGAAAGUUCACACUGUGACGGUAGCUUACCAGAAAGGGACGGCUAACUACGUG
rnacentral:rRNA from 1 species